rnacentral:rRNA from 1 species
GAUGAACGCUGGCGGCGUGCCUAACACAUGCAAGUCGAGCGGCAGCGAGGGGUGCUUGCACCCUGUCGGCGAGCGGCGGACGGCUGAGUAGCGCGUGGGAACGUGCCCCAAAGUGAGGAAUAACUGCCCGAAAGGGUAGCUAAUACCGCAUAUUAUCUUCGGAUCAAAGGAUUUAUCCGCUUUGGGAGCGGCUCGCGUCGGAUUAGGUAGUUGGUGAGGUAAUGGCUCACCAAGCCGACGAUCCGUAGCUGGUCUGAGAGGAUGACCAGCCAGACUGGAACUGAGACACGGUCCAGACUCCUACGGGAGGCAGCAGUGAGGAAUCUUCCACAAUGGGCGAAAGCCUGGUGGAGCAACGCCGCGUGCAGGACGAAGGCCUUCGGGUUGUAAACUGCUUUUAUAAGUGAGGAAUAUGACGGUAACUUAUGAAUAAGGAUCGGCUAACUACGUG